rnacentral:rRNA from 1 species
GACGAACGCUGGCGGCGUGCUUAACACAUGCAAGUCGAGCGGAAAGGCCCUUCGGGGUACUCGAGCGGCGAACGGGUGAGUAACACGUGAGCAAUCUGCCCCUAGCUCUGGGAUAGCUCCGGGAAACCGGAAUUAAUACCUGAUACGACUACGGCCGACAUCGGCCGUGGUGGAAAGCUUUUGCGGCUAGGGAUGAGCUCGCGGCCUAUCAGCUUGUUGGUGGGGUAACGGCCUACCAAGGCGACGACGGGUAGCCGGCCUGAGAGGGCG